rnacentral:rRNA from 1 species
GGGGAAUAUUGGACAAUGGGCGCAAGCCUGAUCCAGCCAUGCCGCGUGAGUGAUGAAGGCCCUAGGGUUGUAAAGCUCUUUCACCGGUGAAGAUAAUGACGGUAACCGGAGAAGAAGCCCCGGCUAACUUCGUGCCAGCAGCCGCGGUAAUACGGAGGGUGCAAGCGUUAAUCGGAAUUACUGGGCGUAAAGCGCACGCAGGCGGUCUGUCAAGUCGGAUGUGAAAUCCCCGGGCUCAACCUGGGAACUGCAUUCGAAACUGGCAGGCUAGAGUCUUGUAGGGGGGGGUAGAAUUCCAGGUGUAGCGGUGAAAUGCGUAGAGAUCUGGAGGAAUACCGGUGGCGAAGGCGGCCCCCUGGACAAAGACUGACGCUCAGGUGCGAAAGCGUGGGGAGCAAACA